rnacentral:rRNA from 1 species
UAACGCAUGGGAAUCUGCUAAACAGUUCGGGCCAAAUCUGAAUCAAGCUCAAAAACGCUGUUUGAUGAGCCUGCGUAGUAUUAGGUAGUUGGUCAGGUAAAGACUGGCCAAACCAAUGAUGCUUAGCUGGUCUUUUUGGAUGAUCAGCCACACUUGGACUAAGACACGGCACGGACUCCCACGGGAGAUAGCAGUGGGGAAUCUUGGACAAUGGGCGAAAGCCUGAUCCAGCAAUAUCGCGUGAGUGAAGAAGGGCAAUACCGCUUGUAAAGCUCUUUUGUCGAGUGCGCGAUCAUGACAGGACUCGAGGAAGAAGCCCCAGCUAACUCCAUGCCAGUAGCCGCAGUAAGACGGGGGGACAAGUGUUCUUCGGAAUGACUGGGCAUAAAAAGGCACGUAGGCGGUUAAUCGGGUUGAAAGUGAAUGUCGCCAAAAACUAGCGGAAUGCUCUCAAAACCAAUUCACUUGAGUGAGAUAGAGAAGAGUGGAAUUUCGUGUGUAGGGGUGAAAUCCGUAGAUCUACGAAGGAAGGCCAAAAGCGAAGGCUGCUCUUUGGGUCGCUACCGAUGCUGGGGUGCGAAAACAUGGGGAGCGAACAAGAUUAGACACCCUGGUAGUCCAUGCCGUAAACGAUGAGUGUUCGCCCUUAGUUUACAUGGAUUAGGGGCCCAGCUAACACGUGAAACACUCCACCUGGGGAGUACGGUCGCAAGACCGAAACUCGAAGGAAUUGACUAGGCCUGCACAAGCGGUGGAGCAUGUGGUUUAAUUCGAUACAAUGCGCAAAACCUUACCACCCCUUGACAUAUGAACAACAAAACCUGUCCUUAAUGGGAUGGUACUGACUUUCAUACAGGUGCUACAUGGCUGUCAUCAGCUCGUGUUGUAAGAUGUUUGGUUAAGUCCUAUAACGAGCGAACCCCUCAUUUUGUGUUGCUGAGACACGCGCCUAGGGAGAAAUAGCAACAGAAGUGAGCCGAGUGACGUGCCACCACUUGAGUGCCAGCACGUAGCUAUGCUUUCAGCAAGAAUUUCACGGGAGCCGACGCCUUUUGAAGCACUUUCACGUGUGAACCGAAGUCGUCUUGUGUCACUCGUUCCCCUACCUAUAGUGACGUCAAAGUACCUAUGACCAUGAUGGUUUGGUUAGGCUUGGUUACGACGACGUCGAGUUGGCGGCGGAGGAAGACUCGACAUUCAGGUGAGCCGCCUGGUAGUGUGGUGCGUAGUGGUAAU